UUCACCCACAAAAACAUUUAGUAUAUAUCUUAAGGUGGGAGCUGAAUCGAAAAAGAAGAUCAUUAUUUACCGAAUGGCCUGAUCUUAUGUGUAGUCUUGUUUACAUGAGUCUUGGUUAGGAGCUGAGACUAAACUGGCUUCUCUAAAGGAAU